AUAUAAUGGCUAUAAAUUUAAUUUUUUUUAAUAUUAAGUAUUGCAUACUGUUAAAAGAAAAUUUUAUAAUUAUAAAAAAUAAAAAUAAAAAGUAGAAAAUGUUUAUUGUUUUAUUAUUACGUAAUAAAAAAUAAAUUAUUUUAGAGUUGAAAUGUCGUUUUUUAUAAUAUUUGUGCAUAAAAGAGUAUUAGAAAAUUGUAUUUUUUUUUAAAAAAAAAAAGUGAAUUUAAAAGUUAAAGUAUUUAAUUUUAAUGUUUUAUAACAUUACACAAAAUUAAUUUAGAUUUGUGAAGAUAAUUUUUUAUUUUUAAAAAAUUAUAUUGUUUUUAAAUUAGUAUAUUAAAUAAAAUUAUUUAUCUAUAAAAUUUAAUAAAAAAAUUAAAAUUUUAAUCAAAUGUUUUUUAAAGACUUAGACUUUAAUUUAAAGUUUGCUUCUGCCCUAUGAAAUUUAAAUGGCAGUCUUAGCGUGAGGACAUUAAGGUAGCAAAAUAAUUAGUGCUUUUAAUGGGUUCGAGUAUGAAUGAAGUUAUUGAUUAAUUUUUUUUUUAUUUUUUUUUAGAAUUUUUAUUUGUAUAAAAAAAUAUAAAAAUAAUUAUACAAAGAUAAGUCUUCGGAAAUUUUUUUUUAUAAUAUUAAUAAAUAUAAUAAAAGUUUUCUAGGGUAGAAUAUUAUAUAAUUUAAUUUUUCUAUAUAUAAGUUUAUAAAUUACUCCGGAGUUAACAGAAAAACAUAUUUAAUCUAGGUGUUAUAGUAAAAUAAGUUUUACAUCGAUGUUGUAUUUAAAUUAAUUAAAAAAGGAGAAAUUUUAAUAAUUAAGACUGUUCUUCUUAUAUUUAAUUUAACGUGAUAUUAGUUUAAUUCAUUGUGAAAUACAAUUGUUUAUCUUGAUAAUUAUUUAUAAAAAAAAUAUUAAGUACGAAAGGAAAAAUAUAAAAAUUUUAAAUUUUAAA
rnacentral:rRNA from 1 species